rnacentral:rRNA from 1 species
GUGGGGAAUAUUGGACAAUGGGCGAAAGCCUGAUCCAGCAAUGCCGCGUGAGUGAUGAAGGCCUUAGGGUUGUAAAGCUCUUUCAGCUGGGAAGAUAAUGACUGUACCAGCAGAAGAAGCCCCGGCUAACUCCGUGCCAGCAGCCGCGGUAAUACGGAGGGGGCUAGCGUUGUUCGGAAUUACUGGGCGUAAAGCGCGCGUAGGUGGUUUUGUAAGUUGGAGGUGAAAUCCCCGGGCUCAACCUGGGAACUGCCUCCAAAACUGCAUGACUAGAGUACGGUAGAGGGUAGUGGAAUUUCCUGUGUAGCGGUGAAAUGCGUAGAUAUAGGAAGGAACACCAGUGGUGAAGGCGACUACCUGGACUGAUACUGACACUGAGGUGCGAAAGCGUGGGGAGCAAACAGGAUUAGAAACCCCAGUAGCC